rnacentral:lncRNA from 1 species
AAAUAUCUAACUUUUAGAGAGAAACUAGUAAUAUUUUCCCCUAUAAAUAGAGGGAGUUUUGUUCAAUGUAUCCUCACUCUCAUGCUCAAGAGAAAUAAAUAAUAUACUACGGUUCCCUGCGGUCCAAACCCGAUAACAGUUGGAUUUUCUCAUAUUUCAUAUAUAUCUUUAUUCUCUAUAAAGCCUUCCAAAACAAAUUUAUCGCUUCAAUAUGAAACAACGUUGUGCUUGAGUACGUAUAAAAAAGGCUAUCUUAUAGCACGUGUUUAUGCUCUAACACCUCCCUUGAAUAUAAUUGGAACAAGAUUAAUUAUUGACCACUAUUAUUGCUUCCAGAGUUGUAAUGCGGUCUUUCUCCGGUGACGGUGAGGCUCUUCUCGAAUGCUCAGUUGUGAGCCAAUGCUUUUCGUGCUUUAAUCUUCUUCGUUCUCCCUAAGUUGUUUAGAAUUUGAUCUCUCCACAUGUUGUGGUGUGGUUGCUCUUUUUAUUAGAUUCGAUUUUGCCUGCCCCCAUACAACUAGAAGGAUAAACUUCAAAUAAAAAAACAUUUAAAAACUUUAUUAUGCAUUUUAAGGGGGUUUGAGCUACAAGUGACAAAAGAGUUUUAAAAUGAGGUGUAUGUGACAGAAGUCUUAAUUAUUAAUUGUAGGUGACAAUUACUUUAUUAUGUAUUAAAAAAGUUGAGAAAAUUUUAAAAUAACCCACAAGUUUUUAAAUUUACACUUUGAUCCCAAUGUAUACCUAAAAUAACGGGAAACGGAGGAAAAAAAAGUAUCUCUCUCUUCUCAUCGAUUCUCUUAGCGAUUUUUGUUGUUAAUUAUUUCUGUUUCUGUUGCUUUAUUCAUCAUCUUCUGCUUCAUCUUCUUCUUGUUGACCAUUUGUUGUUGUUGUUGUUGUUGUUGUUGGUACAACGCUACUGCUGCGAUCUGACCAAUUUCUUAGGUCAAAUUUUGUUUACUACAUCACUUUCCACUUUUGCAUUACUUCAUAGGUUACUUUGGUAAGUAAAACUAUGAUUUUUAUUCGUAUUUGUCAUCUGAGUAUACUUCUAUUUUUUCAAUAAUGGAUAGAACCCCGAUUAUGAAUCCAGCACAAGUGCCCACAAUUUAAACAGAUCAAUCAUCUGGUGCAUCAGAUGAGUAAUCUGUUGCAUCAAACUAUUUAUCUGUUGCAUUAUCAUAUUAUCUGCUGCAUCAGACGUAUUAUCUAUUGUAUCAGGAUAUUUAUCUGUUGCACCAGACUAAUUAUCUGUUGCAUCAGAAUGUUUAUCUGUUGCACCAGACUAAUUAUCUAUUGCAACGAAUGAUUAAUCUGUUUGAAACACCACAAAUCAACCCCUGCCAUAAACCUAACAGAUAAAUCUUGCUAUUGCUAUUGGAUUCUAAAUUAUUCCUUUUUACAUCGAAUCGUCGAAAUGUUUAUUGAGAAUAUAAUAGACAGAAUGAAAAUUAAAUAUGGAUUAAAACGUCAAAGAUCAAACAUAAUUUAUUUAUUAAACAAAUAAAAAUACAUAUAAUAGACUAAAAGAAAAACAAUUGUCUAAUUAUUAUUAUUAUUAUCAGCAUCAUCAUUGCCAACCGGCCAAUCUUCAACCGAAAGUAGCAACGCCCUCCUCAGCCUGCGUAUCUCAUGGAGCAUUCUUGAUCUAAAUCCUCCCAAUUCCUAUUGCAGAUCACGAACUUGAUUCCAAAGUUCAUUCA